UGCUCAUCCGAUCUGCCACCUGUGUCGAUUUUAUGAAUAUUCCGAUUUUUUAACUUUUUCGAAACAGACUUUUUUCAACUGGCUCUAUCUUCAAGAGCUUUCAUUCUUUUCAAAAAAUGAUACAAGUAUAAAAUGUGUCAAUAAGUCCGUGC